CCUACGGGAGGCAGCAGUGGGGAAUAUUGCACAAUGGGGGAAACCCUGAUGCAGCGACGCCGCGUGAGUGAAGAAGUAUUUCGGUACGUAAAGCUCUGUCAGCAGGGAAGAAAAUGACGGUACCUGACUAAGAAGCCCCUGAUAACUACGUGCCAGCAGCCACGGUAAUACGUAGGGGGAGAGCGUUAACCGGAUUUACUGGGUGUAAAGGUAGCGUAGACGGUAGGGCAAGUAAGGAGUGAAAUCCCAUGGCUUAACCAGGGAACUGCUUUGGAAACUGGGAAGCUGGAGUGCGGGAGAGGUAAGCGGAAUUCCUGGUGUAGGAGUGAAAGGCGUAGAUAUCAGGAGGAACAUCAGUGGCGAAGGCGACUAACUGGAACAUAACUGACGCUGAGGAGCGAAAGCGUGGGUAGCAAACAGGAUUAGAUACCCUGGUAGUC
rnacentral:rRNA from 1 species